rnacentral:rRNA from 1 species
UGGGGAAUAUUGGACAAUGGGCGAAAGCCUGAUCCAGCCAUGCCGCGUGUGUGAAGAAGGUCUUCGGAUUGUAAAGCACUUUAAGUUGGGAGGAAGGGGUUGAAGCUAAUACCUUCAAUCUUUGACGUUACCAACAGAAUAAGCACCGGCUAACUCUGUGCCAGCAGCCGCGGUAAUACAGAGGGUGCAAGCGUUAAUCGGAAUUACUGGGCGUAAAGCGCGCGUAGGUGGUUCAGUAAGAUGGAAGUGAAAUCCCCGGGCUUAACCUGGGAACUGCUUUCAUAACUGCUGAGCUAGAGUACGGUAGAGGGUAGUGGAAUUUCCUGUGUAGCGGUGAAAUGCGUAGAUAUAGGAAGGAACACCAGUGGCGAAGGCGACUACCUGGACUGAUACUGACACU